rnacentral:rRNA from 1 species
GACGAACCGAGCGAACGUUGUUCGGAAUCACUGGGCUUAAAGGGCGCGUAGGCGGGCCGCCGCGUCCGGGGUGAAAUCCUCCCGCUCAACGGGAGAACGGCCUCGGAUACGGGCGGCCUGGAGGGGGGUAGGGGCGUGCGGAACUGUGGGUGGAGCGGUGAAAUGCGUUGAUAUCCGGAGGAACACCAGUGGCGAAGGCGACUUUCUGGCCUGUUCUUGACGCUGAGGCGCGAAAGCUAGGGGAGCAAACGGG